AGCAGCCGCGGUAAUACGUAGGUGGCGAGCGUUAUCCGGAAUGAUUGGGCGUAAAGGGUACGUAGGCGGCAUGAUAAGUCUGGAGUGAAAGGCUACAGCUCAACUGUAGUAUGCUCUGGAAACUGUCAAGCUAGAGUGCAGAAGAGGGCAAUGGAACUCCAUGUGUAGCGGUAAAAUGCGUAGAUAUAUGGAAGAACACCGGUGGCGAAGGCGGUUGCCUGGUCUGAAACUGACGCUGAAGUACGAAAGCGUGGGGAGCAAAUAGGAUUAGAUACCCUAGUAGUCCACGCCGUAAACGAUGAGAACUAGGUGUUGGGGGAAUAACUCAGUGCCGCAGUUAACGCAAUAAGUUCUCCGCCUGGGGAGUAUGCACGCAAGUGUGAAACUCAAAGGAAUUGACGGG
rnacentral:rRNA from 1 species